UAUAGGGUCAAAGAAAAGAGGAGAAUCAAGCCAAGCAAAGGCAAUAGGAGCGCACAACUCCGGUAAAUCCUCAACUUAGGCGACUUGGCGAAAUGGAGCGAGCAUGUGUCCAUGUCAUGUUAUCCCAAACGCGUCCGCUAACUUAUGUUCAUCUUUAUGGUCCAUAACUUGUUAUUUUGUCCAACUUUGUUAGUAGUCGUACAUUUGUAAAGCUUGUCGUCUUGCUUUGAGUAGUUUAAUGUCAAACGGAUUGUAGUAUGUUGUUUAGUUUUUUAUGUUAAAAACAGGGGGCACGUUCGUUUUACGAACGGGUCAUGCCGAAUUUUUGUAAAAAUUUUACCAUGUAUUACAAGUUGGUA